rnacentral:rRNA from 1 species
UACGUAGGGCGCAAGCGUUGCCCGGAAUUAUUGGGCGUAAAGAGCUCGUAGGCGGCCAGUUGCGUCCGCUGUGAAAUCCUGGGGCUUAACCCCGGGCGUGCAGUGGAUACGGGCUGGCUAGAGGCAGGCAGGGGAGAACGGAAUUCCCGGUGUAGCGGUGAAAUGCGCAGAUAUCGGGAGGAACACCGGUGGCGAAGGCGGUUCUCUGGGCCUGUACUGACGCUGAGGAGCGAAAGCGUGGGGAGCGAACAGG